rnacentral:pre_miRNA from 1 species
AGUCGAAUUGCUAGGACAUAUGGUAAGUUUAUGUUUAACUUUUAAAGAAACUCUUAACUGUUUUCCAAAGUGACUGUACCAUUUUACACUCUUAUCAGCAAU